UCCGUGUGGCAAUACGAAGACGUGACGCGGACCGAAAUAAAGUAGGGAAGCAUGUGAGCCAUGUGCCAAGAAAAGCCGCUAUAGAUCAUACCGUACCCGUACCGUAAACCGACACAGGUAGAUGAGGAGAGAAUCCUAAGGCCGACGGGAGAAGCAUUGUUAAGGAACUCGGCAAAAUGACCCCGUAACUUCGGGAGAAGGGGUGCCCACGCGAGUGGGCCGCAGAGAAUAGGCUCAAGCAACUGUUUAGCAAAAACACAGGUCUAUGCGAAACCGAAAGGUGAGGUAUAUGGGCUGACGCCUGCCCGGUGCUGGAAGGUUAAGAGGAGGAGUCAGGCAACGAAGCUCCGAAUUUAAGCCCCAGUAAACGGCGGCCGUAACUAUAACGGUCCUAAGGUAGCGAAAUUCCUUGUCGGGUAAGUUCCGACCCGCACGAAAGGCGUAAUGAUUUGAGCACUGUCUCGACAAUGCACCCGGUGAAAUUGAAGUACCAGUGAAGAUGCUGGUUACCUGCGCCAGGACGGAAAGACCCCAUGGAGCUUUACUCCAGUUUGAUACUGGGAUUCGAUACUGAAUGUACAGGAUAGGUGGGAGGCUGAGAAGCGUGGACGCCAGUCUGCGGUGAGCCGCUGUUGGGAUACCACCCUUUGAGUAUUGGAUUUCUAACCUGCGCCCGUGACCCGGGCGGGGGACAAUGUCUGACGGGGAGUUUGACUGGGGCGGUCGCCUCCGAAAGGGUAUCGGAGGCGCUCAAAGGUUCCCUCAGAAUGGUUGGAAACCAUUCGCAGAGUGCAAAGGCAGAAGGGAGCUUGACUGUGACACCGACGGGUGGAGCAGGUACGAAAGUAGGACUUAGUGAUCCGGUGGUAUGAAAGUGGGAUUGCCAUCGCUCAACGGAUAAAAGCUACCCUGGGAUAACAGGCUUAUCACUCCUAAGAGUUCACAUCGACGGAGUGGUUUGCACCUCGAUGUCGGCUCAUCGCAUCCUGGGGCUGUAGCAGGUCCCAAGGGUUGGGCUGUUCGCCCAUUAAAGCGGUACGCGAGCUGGGUUCAGAACGUCGUGAGACAGUUCGGUCCCUAUCCGGCGCAGGCGUAGGAUAUUUGAGAGGAGCUGUCCUUAGUACGAGAGGACCGGGAUGGACAGACCGCUGGUGUAUCUGUUGGUGACCAACACCAUGGCAGAGUAGCCAAGUCUGGCAGGGAUAAACGCUGAAGGCAUCUAAGCGUGAAGCCCCCCUCAAGAUGAGAUAUCCCAAUAAGUAAGACCCCUUAGAGAGUAUGAGGUAGAUAGGCUUAAGGUGUAAGCAUAGUAAUAUGUUCAGCUGAUAAGUACUAAUAGGUCGAGGGCUUAUCU
rnacentral:rRNA from 1 species